GGUUUGCAGCCUAGUGGUAGAGUGCUUGCCUAGCAUGUGUGAGGCACUGGGUUUGAUUCUCAGAACCA
rnacentral:tRNA from 1 species